rnacentral:rRNA from 1 species
UACGUAGGGGGCUAGCGUUGUCCGGAUUCAUUGGGCGUAAAGCGCGCGUAGGCGGUUCGGAAAGUCGGAUGUGAAAACCCGGAGCUCAACUCCGGGCCUGCAUCCGAUACUCCCGGACUAGAGGUAGGUAGGGGAGAUCGGAAUUCCUGGUGUAGCGGUGAAAUGCGCAGAUAUCAGGAGGAACACCGAUGGCGAAGGCAGGUCUCUGGGCCACUACUGACGCUGAGAAGCGAAAGCAUGGGGAGCGAACAGG